CACUCCUGCGGGAGGCAGCAGUGAGGAAUAUUGGACAAUGGGUGGAAGCCUGAUCCAGCCAUCCCGCGUGCAGGAAGACGGCCCUAUGGGUUGUAAACUGCUUUUAUCUGGGGAUAAACCUACUUACGUGUAAGUAGCUGAAGGUACCAGAAGAAUAAGCACCGGCUAACUCCGUGCCAGCAGCCGCGGUAAUACGGAGGGUGCAAGCGUUAUCCGGAUUUAUUGGGUUUAAAGGGUCCGUAGGCGGACUGAUAAGUCAGUGGUGAAAUCCGACAGCUUAACUGUCGAACUGCCAUUGAUACUGUUAGUCUUGAGUAAGGUUGAAGUGGCUGGAAUAAGUAGUGUAGCGGUGAAAUGCAUAGAUAUUACUUAGAACACCAAUUGCGAAGGCAGGUCACUAAGUCUUAACUGACGCUGAUGGACGAAAGCGUGGGGAGCGAACAGGAUUAGAGACCCGAGUAGUCCCA
rnacentral:rRNA from 1 species